rnacentral:sRNA from 1 species
UUUUAGCCCCGAUGGAAGCGACAUCCUUUUUAUCCGCUUUUUUGCGGAUGAAAAGAUAUAGCGGACAGCGGGAUUAGCU